rnacentral:rRNA from 1 species
AAUAGGACUUUUUUGAACCUUGGGGGUUUUUUUUUCCCCGGGGGCGAUACCUGCUGAACUUAAGCAUAUCAAUAAGCGGGAGGAAAAGAAACCAACAGGGAUUGCCCUAGUAACGGCGAGUGAAGCGGCAACAGCUCAAAUUUGAAAUCUGGCGCAAGCCCGAGUUGUAAUUUGUAGAGGAUGCUUCUGGCCAGCGGCCGUUCUAAGUUCCUUGGAACAGGACGUCAUAGAGGGUGAGAAUCCCGUAUGUGACCGGCGCGCAGCCUUUACGUAGCUCCUUCGACGAGUCGAGUUGUUUGGGAAUGCAGCUCUAAAUGGGAGGUAAAUUUCUUCUAAAGCUAAAUACCGGCCAGAGACCGAUAGCGCACAAGUAGAGUGAUCAAAAGAUGAAAAGCACUUUGGAAAGAGAGUUAAAAAGCACGUGAAAUUGUUGAAAGGGAAGCGCUUGCAACCAGACUUCGUAGCGGUGUUCCGCCGGUCUUCUGACCGGUCCACUCAUCGUCUCGAGGCCAACAUCGUCUGGGACCGCUGGAUAAGACCUAAGGAAUGUAGCUUCCCUCGGGAAGUGUUAUAGCCUGUGGUGAUGCACGCGCGUCUCGGGCGAGGUCCGCGCUUCGGCAAGGAUGUUGGCGUAAUGGUUGUCAGCGGCCCGUCUUGAAACACGGACCAAGGAGUCUAACAUCUAUGCGAGUGUUCGGGUGUCAAACCCCUACGCGUAAUGAAAGUGAACGGAGGUGGGGAAGCGCAAGCUGCACCAUCGACCGAUCCUGAUGUCCUCGGAUGGAUUUGAGUAAGAGCAUAGCUGUUGGGACCCGAAAGAUGGUGAACUAUGCCUGAAUAGGGUGAAGCCAGAGGAAACUCUGGUGGAGGCUCGCAGCGGUUCUGACGUGCAAAUCGAUCGUCAAAUUUGGGUAUAGGGGCGAAAGACUAAUCGAACCAUCUAGAUAGCUGGUUCCUGCCGAAUUUCCCCCCCGGAAAAAAAACAACACUUCAAAAAAAAAGGUUCGCCUUAGAUUGUUC